rnacentral:misc_RNA from 1 species
GCUCCGUUGGUGAACCAGCGGAGGGAUCAUUACAGGACUCGCAAGACUCCUUCACCCUGUGAACCUCACUACAAGCACGUUGCUUCGGCGGGUGUCCCGGCGGGGGUUUUCCCUCGCCGGGGCGCACAGCCCGCCGGCAGCCUACUAUACUAUGUCUCUUUGCGUUGGCAUCUCGAGAAAAAACAAACAAGUUAAAACUUUCAACAACGGAUCUCUUGGUUCUG